rnacentral:rRNA from 1 species
UACGGGGGAGGCAAGCGUUGUUCGGAAUUACUGGGCGUAAAGGGCUCGUAGGUGGCCAACUAAGUCAGACGUGAAAUCCCCAGGCUCAACUUGGGAACUGCGUCUGAUACUGGAUGGCUUGAAUUCGGGAGAGGGAUGCAGAAUUCCAGGUGUAGCGGUGAAAUGCGUAGAUAUCUGGAGGAAUACCGGUGGCGAAGGCGGCAUCCUGGACCGAUAUUGACACUGAUGAGCGAAAGCCAGGGGAGCAAACGGG